CCUUCAAUGUCAGCUCUUCCUAUCAUUGUGAAGCAGAAUUCACCAAGCGUUGGAUUGUUCACCUACUAAUAGGGAACGUCAGCUGGGUUUAGACCGUUGUGAGACAGGUU
rfam:Podiceps cristatus contig7097, whole genome shotgun sequence.